rnacentral:rRNA from 1 species
UACGUAGGGGGCUAGCGUUGUCCGGAAUCAUUGGGCGUAAAGCGCGUGUAGGCGGUCCGGUAAGUCCGCUGUGAAAGUCGGGGGGCUCAACCCUCGGAUGCCGGUGGAGUACUGUCGGGCUAGAGUCCGGAAGAGGCGAGUGGAAUCCUGGUGUAGCGGUGGAAUGCGCAGAUAUCAGGAGGAACACCGAUAGCGAAGGCAGCUCGCUGGGACGGUACUGACGCUGAGGCGCGAAAGCGUGGGGAGCGAACAGG